UACGUAGGGUGCAAGCGUUGUCCGGAAUUAUUGGGCGUAAAGAGCUCGUAGGCGGUUUGUCGCGUUCUGCUGUGAAAACCCGAAGGCUCAAACCUCGGGCCUUGCAGUGGGUACGGGCAGACUAGAGUGCGGUAGGGGAGAUUGGAAUUCCUGGUGUAGCGGUGGAAUGCGCAGAUAUCAGGAGGAACACCAAUGGCGAAGGCGGCGAUCUGGGAAGAUACUGACGCUGAGGUGCGAAAGCGUGGGGAGCAAACAGG
rnacentral:rRNA from 1 species